GACGAACGCUGGCGGCGUGCUUAACACAUGCAAGUCGAACGGAAAGGCCCUGCUUUUGUGGGGUGCUCGAGUGGCGAAAGGGUGAGUAACACGUGAGUAACCUGCCCUUGACUUUGGGAUAACUUCAGGAAACUGGGGCUAAUACCGGAUAGGAGCUCCUGCUGCAUGGUGGGGGUUGGAAAGUUUCGGCGGUUGGGGAUGGACUCGCGGCUUAUCAGCUUGUUGGUGGGGUAGUGGCUUACCAAGGCUUUGACGGGUAGCCGGCCUGAGAGGGUGACCGGCCACAUUGGGACUGAGAUACGGCCCAGACUCCUACGGGAGGCAGCAGGGGGGAAUAUUGCACAAUGGGCGGAAGCCUGAUGCAGCAACGCCGCGUGCGGGAUGACGGCCUUCGGGUUGUAAACCGCUUUCGCCUGUGACGAAGCGUGAGUGACGGUAAUGGGUAAAGAAGCACCGGCUAACUACGUG
rnacentral:rRNA from 1 species